GACGAACGCUGGCGGCGUGCUUAACACAUGCAAGUCGAACGAAGAGCGAUGGAAGCUUGCUUCUAUCAAUCUUAGUGGCGAACGGGUGAGUAACGCGUAAUCAACCUGCCCUUCAGAGGGGGACAACAGUUGGAAACGACUGCUAAUACCGCAUACGAUCUAAUCUCGGCAUCGAGGAUAGAUGAAAGGUGGCCUCUACAUGUAAGCUAUCACUGAAGGAGGGGAUUGCGUCUGAUUAGCUAGUUGGAGGGGUAACGGCCCACCAAGGCGAUGAUCAGUAGCCGGUCUGGGAGGAUGAACGGCCACAAUGGGACUGAGACACGGCCCAGACUCCUACGGGAGGCAGCAGGGGGGAAUCUUCCGCAAUGGACGAAAGUCUGACGGAGCAACGCCGCGUGAGUGAUGACGGCCUUCGGGUUGUAAAGCUCCGUUAAUCGGGACGAAAGGCCUUCUUGCGAAUAGGGAGAAGGAUUGACGGUACCGGAAUAGAAAGCCACGGCUAACUACGUG
rnacentral:rRNA from 1 species